rnacentral:piRNA from 1 species
UAUGUCCAAUUUUCUGAGGAACCGCCA